AAUUAAUCAUCUUCAUUUCAUUUCAUUUCACUCCAUCACUAUCAUAUUUCAUAAAAAUAAGAAUAUAAAUUAAAACAAGACUUGACCUAAAGGCCUUAGUCACCAGGUCAUAUAAUACCUUAAUUUUUUUUAACUGAAAACUGACUUAAAAAUUUAUGUAGUCAUAGAUUAUCUAGAUUAUACACUUAUUUAAUAUAGUGAACAUUAACGGUCGAAUAAAAGUAUAAAAUUAAUUUAUACUUAAAAUAGAUUUAAAAGUACAUGUAUACCUGCAUAUUUUAUUAUCAGUAAAUAUAAGCUGCAUUGAGCGAAAAACAUCUUCACGAUUACUCAUUCCCGAAUGAGAAAAAAAAUCUUCGUUAAAUUUAUAGUUCACUCUAUGGAUUCACUAAAAUAUCGUCACCCCAUAAUACAAGACAUUAUAUUCUCGGAAACAAUUUCAACACACCGCGCUUAAACAUUAUAAAGAGGCACUUUGGAUGUCAGCGCUGCAUCGCUGUAUUCGAACAAUUUGAAUAACGUUAAUAAAAUUUGGACAUGCGUGUUACACUAUGUCACUUUCCCGCCGUUUAUAAAGGAUUACACGGAGAUUUUUCAUGGCCUCGCUCCAACUUAUAAUAUAAACAUAUAAUAUAACAAUAUAAUAUGAACAUAUAGUAUAAACAAACAUAAUAAUUAUUCAUUUUCUUGAAGAAAUCCUUUUUUGUAAUUCACUAACAGUCUAUGAGAUAAAGAAUUUGAAAAAUUUAAAAUAUACCUAUUAGAUUAUCGCAUUUGUUAUUUAUUACUAUUAGGUACAUCUUCGUGUCUUCGAGCCCUAUUUCAGCCACAGCAAACCAAUGGACAUUAACAAACACUCCCAACAAUUGCGUAUUUAUGUUAUGUAAUGUACACAAUGUUCGAAAUAAACGGCUUUUAUGAA